rnacentral:rRNA from 1 species
UGGGGAAUAUUGCACAAUGGGCGCAAGCCUGAUGCAGCCAUGCCGCGUGUAUGAAGAAGGCCUUCGGGUUGUAAAGUACUUUCAGCGAGGAGGAAGGCGUUGUGGUUAAUAACCGCAGCGAUUGACGUUACUCGCAGAAGAAGCACCGGCUAACUCCGUGCCAGCAGCCGCGGUAAUACGGAGGGUGCAAGCGUUAAUCGGAAUUACUGGGCGUAAAGCGCACGCAGGCGGUCUGUCAAGUCGGAUAUGAAAUCCCCGGGCUCAACCUGGGAACUGCAUCCGAAACUGGCAGGCUAGAGUCUUGUAGAGGGGGGUAGAAUUCCAGGUGUAGCGGUGAAAUGCGUAGAGAUCUGGAGGAAUACCGGUGGCGAAGGCGGCCCCCUGGACAAAGACUGACGCUCAGGUGCGAAAGCGUGGGGAGCAAACA